ensembl:lncRNA
AUGAGUUCCACCAGGGACUUUCCAAAGAUUGUCCCUGAACACCUGCUAUAUGCCACGUGUUGGAGCCACUGGGAUGGCGAAGACUCCGUACCCCGCAAGGAAAGAGCCCGAGGAAGCGCCCGUGUGCGAGCAGGCUGUAAGCUGUUCCCAGGCUGCGUCAUCACCUUCACAGCAGCCUUCUCCAGUCAGUCUUGCUGGUCCCUAUUUACCAGGCCACGAGACGGAGACUCAGAAACCAAACACUCAGGAAAAGACCAAAGGCCACUCCCGUGCCAUCCRAGUGCUCUGGUGCCAAUGAAUUCAAGCGAGCGGUGGGUAAACUGAACCCUCAGGGACGCGCGGUGGGGCAGAGGGAAGCMUGGACCAGCAGGUCACCCUGCCUCCCAGGCACAGGGGCUCAGUAAACACUGAGGCUCAUGAGACCUGGGCUUGCUUCUGCCACYGUAUGACCUGGAGGUCAUUGCCUAGGCUCUCAAAUUCAUUCUGACAGCCCUGGCUUCGGAUUUCUGCCACCUCUGCCACCAGCAAUGACCUGCCUCCCAGCCCUGUGACUUUGACAAAUUUAGACUGCUCGGUAACCUGAAGUGCAUUUCAAUUUCAUAAAUUUAGAAAUACUCUGGUUAGGCGGAUCCCUCCUGCAGUAAUGCAUCCAUUAAGUGCACUUUAAGCCAAUUUUGGUAUGCUAAUCCAUCACAAAUCGACGUGAAAUUUGGGUUCUCGUGAAAAUUUCCUACACCCGAUCCAAAACCUCUACAGGAUCUAGGAUAAUAAGUAGCAGUCCCUUAAAGUGGCAGACUCGGUCUACUCUGGGUCACACAUUCAGAGAGGACAGGACAGGCAGGUUUUAAAAACGUCCACACUCAUGUAUUCACGAGAGCUGUCUUCUCCAGUGGGGGGCCUGGGAAGGGCGCUUUGCUUAUUUCAACGAUGCUGCCAAAACUCUUGGGGGAUGAGGGUCAUGUUUGUCUCUGCAUUCCCAGCCCCUAACUCAGAGCCUGGCGCUGUAGACACGCCCCGGGGUGUCUAGCAAAUGUCCCCGUUGGAAUCAGCUAGCUGGAUUAGCAACUUGUCCACCAGAGUUAGGUUCCCAGGAUUUCCCUAGUUCCUAAAAUUGAGUAUUCUCCCCACCAGUGAGACUGGGCGUCCUAAAGCAGAUGGGGACCUCCAGUGACAGCACCGUGUGUGGCGGGGCCCCUGUCCAUCCUAGAGUCUCCGAGUGACUCGCGGCACUAAUUGGCAACACAAAGAACCCACAGGUGAUGAAAGAGACAUAAUGUCAUUGUUAUCACCACCCAGGACUCUGUUGUCACCAGUUGUUGAAGGGCAGCACCUAUUAACUGAUGUUUUUAGCUGGGUAAUGGACAUUUUCCCAAUAAGAUCAAGUUUACAGCCGGCAGCGUUUCACUUGCCUGAUUCUGUCGUAAGAUCUACAACCCACCCAACAACAAAAAUAAGCUAUUGGCUUGAUUAAUUUAGAGCAGCAUCGCCUGUGCUGGAUGUGAAACACAUGCCCCUUCUAAAUAAAUGUCACUUACCUGGUGAGGCUUUAUGCA